GGUUUUUACUCUUUUGCUUUGGUUUGUUUCCACUGUUCUUUUCCUCUGCGGGGAAGAAUUAAAGGUAGAUGUCUCAAGGAAAGAGGUGGAUGUCUUUGUCUUGUUCCAUGAGCUUCCACAGAUAUCCUGAGCUGCUAACAGGGUUUGUGCGGCUCUCGCAGAGGCCAAAGGUCUUUUGUCCCUAACCUCCUACCUUCCACAGUCUCUUGCUGGUUGAGCUCUGCUUGAACUACAUUCUCUCUGGCUACAAAACUAAAAGCACCAGCAGUGCCAAGGCUCCACCCGGGCCUCAGGUAUGCCUUGUGCUUCUCAUUGCAGUGCUAAAAAGACUUUCACCAUCUUACAUGGCUGAAUAGACUUGUCAGAGUCCUAAACUAUGUCUCCAGAUCCAUCCCUCAAAAUGCCAGCUGUUUUGCAAUAUUUAAAAAUGUCCUUUCAACUUCCAGACCCAUGUUGCUGCCUGUAGGUUCCUGUGAUCAAUGCACGACAGUAUGGUCUCUUCCUGUGCAUCUGAGUUUUAUGUUAAAAAGAAACAAACUAAAACAAGAAAAAGGCCUCACACAGGGCAGUGAUGACAUGCCACGAGUAAGCAAUAGAUGUUCGGAGAAUUCCAACUUCUAACAAGAACAGAUAUUUGUAAGAAAACAAG
rnacentral:lncRNA from 1 species